rnacentral:rRNA from 1 species
GAUGAACGCUGGCGGCGUGCCUAAUACAUGCCAGUCGAGCGAACAGACGAGGAGCUUGCUCCUCUGACGUUAGCGGCGGACGGGUGAGUAACACGUGGAUAACCUACCUAUAAGACUGGGAUAACUUCGGGAAACCGGAGCUAAUACCGGAUAAUAUAUUGAACCGCAUGGUUCAAUAGUGAAAGACGGUUUUGCUGUCACUUAUAGAUGGAUCCGCGCCGCAUUAGCUAGUUGGUAAGGUAACGGCUUACCAAGGCGACGAUGCGUAGCCGACCUGAGAGGGUGAUCGGCCACACUGGAACUGAGACACGGGCCAGACUCCUACGGGAGGCAGCAGUAGGGAAUCUUCCGCAAUGGGCGAAAGCCUGACGGAGCAACGCCGCGUGAGUGAUGAAGGUCUUCGGAUCGUAAAACUCUGUUAUUAGGGAAGAACAAUGUGUAAGUAACUAUGCACGUCUUGACGGUACCUAAUCAGAAAGCCACGGCUAACUACGUG